ACGUAGGUGGCGAGCGUUGUUCGGAUUUAUUGGGCGUAAAGGGUUCGUAGGAGGUAUGGUAAGUUCGAUGUGAAAUCCCGUGGCUCAACUGCGGAACUGCAUUGAAAACUGUCGUACUAGAGUGUCAUAGAGGAGAGCGGAAUUCCUGGUGUAGCGGUGGCAUGCGUAGAUAUCAGGAAGAACAACGAUAGCGUAGGCAGCAAACUGGAUGAGAUCUGACUGUGAACCGCGAAAACGUGUGGAGCAAACAG
rnacentral:rRNA from 1 species